rnacentral:rRNA from 1 species
GAUGAACGCUAGCGACAGGCUUAACACAUGCAAGUCGAGGGGCAGCGGGGGGCAGCAAUGCCUUGCCGGCGACCGGCGCACGGGUGCGUAACGCGUAUGCAACCUACCUACCAGUCUGGGAUAACCCGGCGAAAGCCGGACUAAUACCGGAUGAAACAGGGGUCCCGCCUGGGACUAUUUGUUAAAGAUUCAUCGCUGGUAGACGGGCAUGCGUUCCAUUAGGUAGUUGGGGGGGUAACGGCCCACCAAGCCUUCGAUGGAUAGGGGUUCUGAGAGGAAGGCCCCCCACACUGGUACUGAGACACGGACCAGACUCCUACGGGAGGCAGCAGUGAGGAAUAUUGGUCAAUGGGCGGGAGCCUGAACCAGCCAAGUCGCGUGGAGGACGACGGCCCUAUGGGUUGUAAACUCCUUUUGCAGGGGAAUAAAGUGGGGGACGCGUCCCCUUUUGCAUGUACCCUGCGAAUAAGCAUCGGCUAACUCCGUGCCAGCAGCCGCCG